GGUGAAGCGCUGGAUGAUGUCGCUGUCGAGAACAUCGCAGUUGCUAAAGGUAUGGCAAUUGAGUAAUCGUUGGAUGUCCAAGCUGCUGAAGAGUAGUCUUCUAGGUACCCUUUAGGAUUUUCUUUAUUUUUCUUGUUGCUUUAUGCUUUGCUUGAACUCCUUCGGCCUUUGCUAUUUGUUAUCAAUUUUGCUAGAAAAUUUAAUAAACCUAUUUCCUUCACUUUUCUUCAUUUUCGCUUCUUUUGUUUACGCUUGACCUUUAGACCAACAACAGACGUGCUGCUUGUCUAUAAGCAGAUAGGCCCACGUAGCCUAUGCAGCCGUAUGUGUUGGUGUAGAAAUUUUGCAAAGUUGUUAGCCAAAAGGUCGGCAGCCGGACACGUUACUUAUAGAAGCAGAUGAGUCCGCGUGACCACUUCGCUGUUAACCUUGGCUUUCUUCAAUCCUUUGAGCUAUGUGGCCUACAUCACAACAUACUAAAGAUUUUUUGGGUCUUGAAAUUCGCUAACUUUUUGUAUCAAAAGUACGCGGUUGUAUGGAAUUUUGUAAGUAAAUGUCCGAGAGAACUCUUUGCUUUUUAUGUAACCAAUUCCAUGGGUUGCGUAGCAAGUAUCACAACACUUUAGAAAUUAGUGUAGAUCUAGAUAAUCAUUCCAUGCUUGGCAUAGGUGAAGCUUAUCGAAUGCGUAGCAUGUCAGCAGUGGAUAGAGCUUCGUAUAUGCACGCUAGUUGUUUAACCUUUCAUAAAAAAUGUGCGAUUGUAUAAGUUUAGUGAUGCUUACUGCUUGAAGGGCAAGCCAUAUGCAGUCUUCUGGAAACCUUAGGCUACUUUAGUGAACUUGAUAACAACUUUAGGGUUCUAGGGCAGCCGUCCAUAGGGCGUACUAUGUAAUGCGCCUCAUCCAUCUUUGAGGCCUGGUUCCCCACAGAUUAGGCCAGUUAGCUAAG
rnacentral:lncRNA from 1 species